rfam:Rachicladosporium sp. CCFEE 5018 unplaced genomic scaffold Supercontig_29, whole genome shotgun sequence.
CACAAGGAUGAACAAGAGAUCAUCAUCUCUAUAAUCCCAGCUCAUUGAAUGCCUCUUGAAGGCAGCAUGAGAACACGUCCCGUCUGAGUCA